rnacentral:rRNA from 1 species
GAUGAACGCUGGCGGCGUGCCUAAUACAUGCAAGUCGAGCGAACGGACGAGAAGCUUGCUUCUCUGAUGUUAGCGGCGGACGGGUGAGUAACACGUGGAUAACCUACCUAUAAGACUGGGAUAACUUCGGGAAACCGGAGCUACUACCGGAUGAUAUUUUGAACCGCAUGGUUCAAAAGUGAAAGACGGUCUUGCUGUCACUUAUAGAUGGAUCCGCGCUGCAUUAGCUAGUUGGUAAGGUAACGGCUUACCAAGGCAACGAUGCAUAGCCGACCUGAGAGGGUGAUCGGCCACACUGGAACUGAGACACGGUCCAGACUCCUACGGGAGGCAGCAGUAGGGAAUCUUCCACAAUGGGCGAAAGCCUGACGGAGCAACGCCGCGUGAGUGAUGAAGGUCUUCGGAUCGUAAAACUCUGUUAUUAGGGAAGAACAUAUGUGUAAGUAACUGUGCACAUCUUGACGGUACCUAAUCAGAAAGCCACGGCUAACUACGUG